UUGCCUUAGUAGCGGCGAGUGAAGCGGCAAAAGCUCAAAUUUGAAAUCUGGCACUUUCAGUGUCCGAGUUGUAAUUUGAAGAAGGUAUCUUUGGGUCUGGCUCUUGUCUAUGUUUCUUGGAACAGAACGUCACAGAGGGUGAGAAUCCCGUGCGAUGAGAUGUCCCAGACCUAUGUAAAGUUCCUUCGAAGAGUCGAGUUGUUUGGGAAUGCAGCUCUAAGUGGGUGGUAAAUUCCAUCUAAAGCUAAAUAUUGGCGAGAGACCGAUAGCGAACAAGUACAGUGAUGGAAAGAUGAAAAGAACUUUGAAAAGAGAGUGAAAAAGUACGUGAAAUUGUUGAAAGGGAAGGGCUUGAGAUCAGACUUGGUAUUUUGUAUGUUACUCUCUCGGGGGUGGCCUCUACAGUUUACCGGGCCAGCAUCAGUUUGAGCGGUAGGAUAAGUGCAAAGAAAUGUGGCACUGCUUCGGUAGUGUGUUAUAGUCUUUGUCGAUACUGCCAGCUUAGACUGAGGACUGCGGCUUCGGCCUAGGAUGU
rnacentral:rRNA from 1 species